rnacentral:rRNA from 1 species
UACGUAGGUGGCGAGCGUUGUCCGGAUUUACUGGGCGUAAAGGGCGUGCAGGCGGUUUGCUAAGUCUAGGGUGAAAGCUCCCGGCUCAACUGGGAGAGGUCCUUGGAUACUGACAGACUUGAGGGAGGCAGAGGAGAAUGGAAUUCCCGGUGUAGUGGUGAUAUGCGUAGAUGUCGGGAGGAACACCAGUGGCGAAGGCGGUUCUCUGGGCCUUACCUGACGCUGAGACGCGAAAGCGUGGGGAGCGAACAGG